rnacentral:rRNA from 1 species
UCUUUAGUUUUUAAUUUAAGAUCAGGCCUGCCCAUUGAUUUUAAAUAUUAAAAGGCUGCGGUAUUUUAACUGUACGAAGGUAGCAUAAUCAUUUGUCUUUUAAUUGAAGGCUAGAAUGAAUGGUUUGAUGAAAUAUAAACUUUCUUUUUUUAAUUAUUUUGAAUUUAAUUUUUUAGUUAAAAAGCUAAAAUUUUUUUAUAGGACGAGAAGACCCUAUAGAAGUUUACUAUAUUAAUAAUUUUUAAUUUUUUGUUUAUAAAAUUUUCUUUUAAAUUGUAUAGUUUUGUUGGGGUGACAUUAAAAUUUAUUUAACUUUUAAAUAUAUUUUUCAUUAAUAUAUGUUUCUUUGAUCCUUUAUUUAUAGAUUAAAAGUUUAACUUACCUUAGGGAUAACAGCGUAAUUUUUUCGGAGAGCCCAAAUC